AUCUUUAUAGUUUAAAUAAAACAUUACAUUGAAAAUGUAAAAAUAAAAAUUUUAAAGAUA
rnacentral:tRNA from 1 species